GACGAACGCUGGCGGCGUGCCUAAUACAUGCAAGUUGAGCGCUGAAGGUUGGUACUUGUACCAACUGGAUGAGCAGCGCACGGGUGAGUAACGCGUGGGGAAUCUGCCUUUGAGCGGGGGACAACAUUUGGAAACGAAUGCUAAUACCGCAUAAAAACUUUAAACACAAGUUUUAAGUUUGAAAGAUGCAAUUGCAUCACUCAAAGAUGAUCCCGCGUUGCAUUAGCUAGUUGGUGAGGUAAAGGCUCACCAAGGCGAUGAUACAUAGCCGACCUGAGAGGGUGAGCGGCCACAUUGGGACUGAGACACGGCCCAAACUCCUACGGGAGGCAGCAGUAGGGAAUCUUCGGCAAGGGACGAAAGUCUGACCGAGCAACGCCGCGUGAGUGAAGAAGGUUGUCGGAUCGGAAAACUCUGUUGGUAGAGAAGAACGUUGGUGAGAGUGGAAAGCUCAUCAAGUGACGGUAACUACCCAGAAAGGGACGGCUAACUACGUG
rnacentral:rRNA from 1 species